GGAUGCGAUCAUAGCAGCACUAAAGCACGGAUCCCAUCAGAACUCCGAAGUUAAGCGUGCUUGGGCGAGAGUAGUACUAGGAUGGGUGACCUCCUGGGAAGUCCUCGUGUUGCAUUCC
rnacentral:rRNA from 1 species